UGGUUUGAUUCUGGCUCAGGACGAACGCUGGCGGCGCGCCUAACACAUGCAAGUCGAACGGAGAUAAUAGGGAGCUUGCUCCCUGUUAUCUGAGUGGCGGACGGGUGAGUAACGCGUGAGUAACCUGCCUUAAAGAGGGGGAUAACGUCUGGAAACGGACGCUAAUACCGCAUGACAUAUCACUGCGGCAUCGCAGUGAUAUCAAAGGAGGAAUCCGCUUUAAGAUGGACUCGCGUCCAAUUAGCUAGUUGGUGAGGUAACGGCUCACCAAGGCGACGAUUGGUAGCCGGACUGAGAGGUUGAACGGCCACAUUGGGACUGAGACACGGCCCAGACUCCUACGGGAGGCAGCAGUGGGGAAUAUUGCACAAUGGGGGGAACCCUGAUGCAGCGACGCCGCGUGAGGGAAGAAGGUUUUCGGAUUGUAAACCUCUGUCCUUGGUGACGAUAAUGACGGUAGCCAAGGAGGAAGCCACGGCUAACUACGUGCCAGCAGCCGCGGUAAUACGUAGGUGGCAAGCGUUGUCCGGAAUUACUGGGUGUAAAGGGAGCGUAGGCGGGAAGACAAGUUGGGAGUGAAAUGUAUGGGCUUAACCCAUAAACUGCUUUCAAAACUGUUUUUCUUGAGUGAAGUAGAGGCAGGCGGAAUUCCUAGUGUAGCGGUGAAAUGCGUAAAUAUUAGGAGGAACACCAGUGGCGAAGGCGGCCUGCUGGGCUUUAACUGACGCUGAGGCUCGAAAGCGUGGGUAGCAAACAGGAUUAGAUACCCUGGUAGUCCACGCUGUAAACGAUGAUUACUAGGUGUGGGGGGACUGACCCCUUCCGUGCCGGAGUUAACACAAUAAGUAAUCCACCUGGGGAGUACGACCGCAAGGUUGAAACUCAAAGGAAUUGACGGGGGCCCGCACAAGCAGUGGAGUAUGUGGUUUAAUUCGAAGCAACGCGAAGAACCUUACCAGGUCUUGACAUCCUUGGACCGCUUAAGAGAUUAAGCUUUCCCUUCGGGGACCGAGUGACAGGUGGUGCAUGGUUGUCGUCAGCUCGUGUCGUGAGAUGUUGGGUUAAGUCCCGCAACGAGCGCAACCCUUGUUGCUAGUUGCUACGAAAGAGCACUCUAGUGAGACUGCCGUUGACAAAACGGAGGAAGGUGGGGAUGACGUCAAAUCAUCAUGCCCCUUAUGACCUGGGCUACACACGUACUACAAUGGCCGUAAACAGAGGGAGGCGACACCGCGAGGUGAAGCGAACCCCCAAAAACGGUCCCAGUUCAGAUUGCAGGCUGCAACUCGCCUGUAUGAAGUCGGAAUUGCUAGUAAUCGCAGAUCAGCAUGCUGCGGUGAAUACGUUCCCGGGCCUUGUACACACCGCCCGUCACACCAUGAGAGUUGGCAACACCCGAAGUCGGUAGUCUAACCGCAAGGAGGACGCCGCCGAAGGUGGGGUUGACGAUUGGGGUGAAGUCGUAACAAGGUACCC
rnacentral:rRNA from 1 species